AUCGUCCAGGCCAGAAAUCAGGCCUUUCCCAAGCCUGUGCUGCCUCUCUCCUAGCCUUCUAAUCUGGUCGUCAGAUCUGUCAUCUUUGCUUCCCAGUAUCUAGGCUCCACCAUCUCUGUUCUCAUCCCCCUUAACUGUCAGCAGCAAUUGUAUGGAUUCCUUUGAAGACUGUGAACUUGAUCCCAUCAUUGAAGGAAACAGAUUAAAAAAAAAAAAUUCUAAGAGGCCAUUUUUCCAUUAUAAAAAUCUCCCUUAACCAACCUGUGCUGGCAGGAGAGGUGGCUUAGCAGUUAAGGGCGUGUAUCUGAGUUUGUCCUAAUCCUUUCCUUCCAUCUCCAACAUCCCUCCCAUGAAAAGCCAUUUAGAAGACAACGCAGACGUGUAAUAGAGCAUGGAUGUAGAUAUUUUAGAACAGCUGUGUUUCUUAGAUAUGAUAAUAGCAUAGCGGAUUUAUCUUAGUUCUCUGGAGAUACAUGUUAAAGUAUUCACUUAUUGAGACAGUGUCUCACCCAUUGUGCUGGCCAGCCUGGAACUCUCAGUGUAGACCAGGCUGGCCUUAAACUCAGAGAUCUUCCUGAGUCUACCUCCUAAGUGCUGGAAGUAAAGAUCUGACCACCACGGGAAGCAUAUGCUGAAGUGUUAAGUGGUAUGUGUCUAGACAAUUUCCAAAUCGUCAGUUUUCUUUUAACUUACACAACACAUUUUUAUCUACUUGGAGUGUGUAAAUUAUUUCAACUUCUCUAUGUUUGAAGCUUUUCUAAACAAGAAAUGGGUGAGAGGGUCUCUGUAGCUGCUGUGCAGGAGUUAGGGUCACAGGAGUAUUGCUUUAAUAUGAAACAUCUCAGAAUAGAUCUGCCGCCCUCCCCUGCCCGUGCGUGCUUCCUCACUGCAAUACUUACUCCUGGCUUUGUGACUAGCCCUCACAAACGCUGUCUCCAGCUGACAGACGCUUCCUCCCCUUCUCUGUCAGUGGUUCUCAGCCUGAGUCAAGACCCCUUUGGAUUGCAUAUCAGAUAUUUACAUUACGAUUCAUAACAGCAAAAUUCCUGUUAGGAAGUAGCAAAUGAAAAUCAUUUCAUGGUUGGGGAUCACCGCAACAUGAGGGACUGUGUUAAAGUGGCAGCCUGAGGAAAGCUGAGAACCACUGAGCCACAUCAUUAGCUCAAGAGUUACUUCUUCCUGGCACCUCAUCUCCCGGCCACCUGAGACCCUGCCUCAUCCGGCCACCCUGUGCUCCUGCAUCUUAUCCCCCACCCCCUGGGCCUCUGUCCAGAGCUUAUCUGGGGAUGCAUGUGAUCCAGUUCCCCUGCUCUCGCCUGCAGGCUCAGCUCUGUGGGGUCAGGGCCGGGUUCAUUCUCUGUAUGUCCUUCUGCAGCUAGCCCAACCCCUAACACAUACCAUGAUGCAGUUAGCAAAUAUUUGUGGGUCAAGUGGGUAGGUAAGGCCCCCUGUGCUCUUUCUGAACAUUCAAUCUUUUUCCCCUGCCUCCCUUUGCUGACUAAACCUUAGUGCUGUCUCACACCUGGUCAGCGCUGUUUUCCACCUCUUGGUUUUUGAGGCGGUUUUGGUCGGGGGUUGGGGAGUGUGUUUUGUUUUAUUGUUUCACUGCAGUUGGGUUUAUGGUUUGUUUUAUUUUGAGGCAGGGUUUCACAGUUUAGCCCUGGCUGGCCAGAAACUUGAUAUGUAGAUCAGACUAGCCUCAAACACAGAGAUCUGCCAGACUUUUUCUCUAGUCUUGGGGAUGCACUCCCAGCCCCAGGGGUGUCUUUUGAAAGUAUUGUUUCCCUUCAUCUCUACAUCCAACAUCUGGACAGGAGACCAUCCAUCCUUUUUCCCAUCCACCCAGAGGUUUCUUUCUUUGUUUUUGUUUUUGAAAACAGGAUUUCUCUGUGUCCCUGCCCAUGGAACUCACUACGUAGACCAGGCUGAUUUUGAACUCAGAGAUCACCUGCCUCUGCCUCUCAAUUGCUGGCAUUAAAGGUGUGAGCCACCUCUCCUCGCUGAGUGUUUGGCUUUUGGUUUUGGGGGUUUGCUUUGUUUUUAAGGCUUCCUUCAAUAAAAGGUUGGGCCAGUCAUGGCAGGAGAGUCCAGGAACUGCACCCCCUGCCCUGGGGAUUGGCCCAGUAUUACCAGGCUGCUUUUCCUGCCUGUUUUGAAAAUCUGCUGGCAGUAUCCAUGGCAGUGUAACACGCAGCAGCGUAGCGCCCCGCCCACGCUGACCUGGUACCACCCGCUUCUUCCCACUCCCGCCCUGCACACCUUACAGACGCAUGCGUGCCGUCCGUUUCCCGACCCUGUGUACUUGUACAUGUUGUUCUCUCUGGCUAGAAUUAGCACCUGCCUUGUCCAUCUGUCCUGCCCGGCCUCCAGCGCAGGGCUGCAGAGUCUCUCCUGGAGUCACUCUUGCUCCUCUUGAGGCCAAGCCGGUGAUUCAUUCCCCUGAGCUCUGGCAGUGUGUCCGCUCUGGGAUCUGUGCUCAUUCUGGCUGUUUUCCCCGGGAGAUGGAACUGACUUAGCAUCUGGUAGAACCUGAUACCAACAGAGCCUAGCAUACAAUGCUUAUUCUCAAUUCCAGUGUUUGAUAGAAAGUAGGGACCCUCCAAGCUGGAUGUGUGUCAGUCUGUCUGUCCAUCUGUGUCUCUGUAUGUUUAUGUGUAUGUGUGUAUAUGUCUCUCUGUGUAUAUGUAUGUGUUUCAGUGUGUCUGUGUCUCUGUGUUUACAUGCAUGUGUAUGUGUGUAUAUGUCUAUCUGUGUAUAUGUAUGUGUUUCUGUGUGUCUGUGUCUCUGUGUCUCUGUUUAUAUGCAUGUAUGUGUCUAUGUUUUGUGUGUGUGUGUUUCUCUGUGUGUAUGUGUGUCUGUGCCUGUUUAUAUGGGUGUCUGUGUGUAUAUGUAUGUGUCUGUGUGUUUAUGUGUGUGUGUCUGUGUCUGCAUGUGCCUGUCAGUAAGAACCCAGGCCUUGCCUGGAUCCAAUCUCUCUGGCAGCUGUUGGCAUAGCUCUCUCCAUAUUUGGCUUAGACAGUGAGAGAGACUGGAUGACGUGUCAUCAAGUAUCCUGUGCCCAGGACUGGGCAUAUCAUAUCGGCUUUUGUCAGCUGAAACCUGACACUCAAACAAGAUUUCAGAGUUUGACCCUCAAAGCCAGGCUCGCAGGUUCGGCCAGAGAUGUAGGUUUGGGAGAUGGCCCUGAUUAGUAGAAACAUUUUGAAUGUUGUUUGUUCUUUGAAACUUCUGAGCCCAUUGUUUAGUCUCUCUGAGCUUGUCUGGGGUUGCAAGACCUCCCUUGCUGUGGUUUUGAGGCUCUAAUGAAAUGACCUAGGCAAAUGACCUCAAGCAGCCCAUGGGAAGAAAUGUGUCUUUAAUAACUGUUGGUAUCCUUGAGUCCUAAGGAAGAAGAGAAAAGUGUCACUGUCCGCUCUAUACUUAGUCUACAAAUAAUCCUUUCAGAGUCACAAAUACAUUCAGUGCAAUAAAAAUUAGUCAUGUUUU
rnacentral:lncRNA from 1 species